ACUACUCGAAUAUGAUUUAACCUCGCCUCUUUAGCGUCUUCGUUUUUGUUUUUUUCAUUCGUCUGCUUAGAAUUUCGGAUGACGGUCGGAGGCUUGGGUGGCGUCAGGUUUCUCCCCCUCUUUUUCCUGAUGUGCGCUAAAAACAUUCCAAAAAAAGUUGGCUAUCUUUUCCUCCCCUUCCGAGGGCACUUUUCAUUAGUCGACUUUUCUUACUACUUUCUUCACACUAUCUUUCUUUUUUUUUUUGAGAAGUGAAUAAGAAUGAGAAAAAAA
ensembl:ncRNA C02D4.10 ncRNA